GACGAACGCUGGCGGCGUGCUUAACACAUGCCAGUCGAACGAAGCUUGAUUACGGAUUCUUCGGAUGAAGUAUGAUAUGACUGAGUGGCGGACUGGUGAGUAACGCGUGAGUAACCUGCCCUUCAGAGGGGGAUAGCGUUUGGAAACGAACGGUAAUACCGCAUAAUGUAUUUUGACCGCAUGAUCGAAAUACCAAAGAUUUAUCGCUGAAGGAUGGACUCGCGUCUGAUUAGGUAGUUGGUGGGGUAACGGCCUACCAAGCCGACGAUCAGUAGCCGGACUGAGAGGUUGAUCGGCCACAUUGGGACUGAGACACGGCCCAGACUCCUACGGGAGGCAGCAGUGGGGAAUAUUGCACAAUGGGCGCAAGCCUGAUGCAGCAACGCCGCGUGAAGGAAGACGGUUUUCGGAUUGUAAACUUCUGUUCUUAGGGAAGAAUAAUGACGGUAGCUAAGGAGCAAGCCACGGCUAACUACGUG
rnacentral:rRNA from 1 species